UUACCCACUCCCGGCACGGGGAGGUAGUGACGAAAAAUAACGAUACGGGACUCAUCCGAGGCCCCGUAAUCGGAACGAGUACACUCUAAACCCUUUAACGAGGAUCAAUUGGAGGGCAAGUCUGGUGCCAGCAGCCGCGGUAAUUCCAGCUCCAAUAGCGUAUAUUAAAGUUGUUGCGGUUAAAAAGCUCGUAGUCGAAUCUGUGUCCCGCGCCGCCGGUUCAUCGCUCGCGGUGUUUAACUGGCGUGUCCGCGGGACGUCCUGCCGGUGGGCUCAGCCCCGCGAGGGGCGGCCCAACUUCAAAUCCCACCGCGGUGCUCUUCACCGAGUGUCGAGGUGGGCCGGCACGUUUACUUUGAACAAAUUAGAGUGCUUAAAGCAGGCUAAAACUUCGCCUGAAUACUGUGUGCAUGGAAUAAUGGAAUAGGACCUCGGUUCUAUUUUGUUGGUUUUCGGAACCCCGAGGUAAUGAUUAAUAGGAACGGAUGGGGGCAUUCGUAUUGCGACGUUAGAGGUGAAAUUCUUGGAUCGUCGCAAGACGGACAGAAGCGAAAGCAUUUGCCAAAAACGCUUUCAUUGAUCAAGAACGAAAGUUAGAGGUUCGAAGGCGAUCAGAGAUACCGCCCUAGUUCUAACCAUAAACGAUGCCAGCUAGCGAUCCGCCGACGUUCCUCCGAUGACUCGGCGGGCAGCUUCCGGAAACCAAAGCUUUUGGGUUCCGGGGAAGUAUGGUUGCAAAGCUGAAACUUAAAGGAAUUGACGGAAGGGCACCACCAGGAGUGGAGCCUGCGGCUUAAUUUGACUCGACACGGGAAACCUCACCAGGCCCGGACACCGGAAGGAUUGACAGAUUGAGAGCUCUUUCUUGAUUCGGUGGGUGGUGGUGCAUGGCCGUUCUUAGUUGGUGGAGCGAUUUGUCUGGUUAAUUCCGAUAACGAACGAGACUCUAGCCUGCUAACUAGGCGCAUUUUCGACAUCUCAAAGGCCCGCCGGUCCGGCGCUCUCGCGUCGUGUCCGCGCGCGGUUUUUACUGUCGGCGUACAAUCAAUUCUUCUUAGAGGGACAGGCGGCUUCUAGCCGCACGAGAUUGAGCAAUAACAGGUCUGUGAUGCCCUUAGAUGUUCUGGGCCGCACGCGCGCUACACUGAAGGAAUCAGCGUGUCCUCCCUGGCCGAGAGGCCCGGGUAACCCGCUGAACCUCCUUCGUGCUAGGGAUUGGGGCUUGCAAUUGUUCCCCAUGAACGAGGAAUUCCCAGUAAGCGCGAGUCAUAAGCUCGCGUUGAUUACGUCCCUGCCCUUUGUACACACCGCCCGUCGCUACUACCGAUUGAAUGAUUUAGUGAGGUCUUCGGACCGGUACGCGGCGGCGCUCGCGCGUCGCCGAUGUUGCUGGGAAGAUGACCAAA
rnacentral:rRNA from 1 species